UGAAACUCUUCCACAUUUGUAAAUAUCUGUCACUUUCAAGGACAGAAAUGGAAAUUGGCACCACUAUAUACACUCAGUACAGAAUACCAGUAAAUAAAAAAUGGGGAUCUGAAGAAGAAGAAGAUGCUCGGAUAAACGAGGCUCCGGCAAGAGAGACGAGGUGUUUUUAAAGGGUAGUUGCCCCUCUCUUGCCCCCAUCAACUUCGGAUCGGAUCUGAUCUGAUCUGAUGUUGAGCCCAUGAUUCAAUCAAUCCCCAAUUUUCCCUGAAAAUCAGCAACCCUUUAAAGCAAGAAUGCCAAUAAGCAGAAUCAUCUAUCAUUUGAGAGCUACCAAAUCAGGAUCCAAACCAUAAAGGUGAAAGAUGAAAAUGAGAAGGCGAUGAUGAUAAUGAUUUCUGUAUAUCCGAGCAUCGUACUCAGUCAUGGGGUUAACUUCGACCCGUAUCUUGGCGGGGCAACCCGGAUGGCAUGUGAGAGCAACAACAAGGGCUUUUUUAUUGCUCUUACGGUGCAACCGGUGUUGCAGCCAUGGCGAUGAUCGUCCCUCUUGUCUGAUCUUUAUGUUACAGAUCUGAGCCACUUUCUCUUUGCUUAAUCAUCGAAAUAUUUUUUAUUUUUAGUCAAACAUGUGAUAAGUUAAAACAGUUGGUAAAAUAAGUUGAACAACAGGUUAAAACCAAAUCAAGAUAAUUUUACUAGACCAAAAUAUGCCUUUUGUUAUUCAAUUGGUUUCCUUAAUCACUUUGUAAAAAUUCAUGAGCCGGCAAACAUCUUAUGAAACAGUUCGUAAAUUCGAGUUUUUUCCCAAACUAGUGAUGGUGGAAAAACUAUUUACCAAAAUAGUGUUCCUUCAAAACUAUUUACCAAAAUGGUGUUUCUCAUUUAUUUUGUAUAUUUUCCUUUUAUUUUAAACCCAAUGUAUUAGCCGUAUUUUUUAUUUUUCCUAUUCAGUUAACUUGUUUUCUA